CCUACGGGUGGCAGCAGUCGAGAAUCAUUCACAAUGGGGGAAACCCUGAUGGUGCGACGCCGCGUGGGGGAAUGAAGGUCUUCGGAUUGUAAACCCCUGUCAUGUGGGAGCAAAUUAAAAAGAUAGUACCACAAGAGGAAGAGACGGCUAACUCUGUGCCAGCAGCCGCGGUAAUACAGAGGUCUCAAGCGUUGUUCGGAAUCACUGGGCGUAAGGCGUGCGUAGGCUGUUUCGUAAGUCGUGUGUGAAAGGCGCGGGCUCAACCCGCGGACGGCACAUGUUACUGCGAGACUAGAGUAAUGGAGGGGUAACCGGAAUUCUCGGUGUAGCAGUGAAAUGCGUAGAUAUCGAGAGGAACACUCGUGGCGAAGGCGGGUUCCUGGACAUUAACUGACGCUGAGGCACGAAGGCCAGGGGAGCGAAAGGGAUUAGAUACCCGAGUAGUC
rnacentral:rRNA from 1 species